GACGGAGGGGGCUAGCGUUGUUCGAAAUGACUGGGCGUAAAGGGCGCGUAGGCGGUUUUUUAAGUGAGGCGUGAAAGCCCUGGGCUUAACCCAGGAAUUGCGUUUCAGACUGGAAGACUGGAGUACGAGAGAGGUAAGUGGAAUUCCUAGUGUAGAGGUGAAAUUCGUAGAUAUUAGGAAGAACACCAGUGGCGAAGGCGGCUUACUGGCUCGUAACUGACGCUGAGGCGCGAAAGCGUGGGGAGCAAACAGG
rnacentral:rRNA from 1 species